rnacentral:siRNA from 1 species
CCAGUGGUCUAGUGGUAGAAUAGUACC